rnacentral:rRNA from 1 species
UGAGUGGCGGACGGGUGAGUAACGCGUGGGCAACCUGGCCUGUACAGGGGGAUAACACUUAGAAAUAGGUGCUAAUACCGCAUAACGGGGGAAGCCGCAUGGCUUUUCCCUGAAAACUCCGGUGGUACAGGAUGGGCCCGCGUCUGAUUAGCCAGUUGGCAGGGUAACGGCCUACCAAAGCGACGAUCAGUAGCCGGCCUGAGAGGGCGGACGGCCACACUGGGACUGAGACACGGCCCAGACUCCUACGGAAGGCAGCAG